AUUGUUCACCCACUAAUAGGGAACGUGAGCUGGGGUUAGACCGUCGUGAGACAGGUUAGUUUUACCCCACUGAUGAGUUCGAUGUCGCGACAGUAAUCCAACUUAGUACGAGAGGAACCGUUGGUUCGGAUACUUGGUAAUGCGGUUGGCUGAACAGCCAAUGCCGCGAAGCUACCAUCCGUAGGAUUAUGACUGAACGCCUCUAAGUCAGAAUCCAUGCUGAACAUCGACGAUACCCACCUGGCCGGACCUUCGUGAGUAUUAAUAGCCUCCGGGUCAACACCGUACAAUCGUGGCACUGCCUCUUAACUGGGCCAGUACACGGACAAACAAUUAAUAAUGCUCGGCCAGAUAGAUCCUUUGUAAACGACUUAAAUAUGAAACGGGCCACUGUAAGUAUGAGAGUAG
rnacentral:rRNA from 14 species